rnacentral:rRNA from 1 species
AGGAUAAACGCUGGCGGCGUGCCUAACACAUGCAAGUCGAACGCCCUUUAGCUUCGCAAGGAGUGGGAGGGAGUGGCGGACGGGUGAGGAACACGUGGGUGACCUACCUUUCAGUGAGGAAUACCGGCGAGAAAUCGCCGACAAGACCGCAUAGGCUCGAUGCAAGUCGAGCAAAGCUCUCUCGAGAGAGGGAGCGCCACACGAGGAGCCUGCGCCCGAUUAGCUAGCUGGUGGAGUAACGGUUCACCAGGGCGACGAUCGGUAGCUGGUCUGAGAGGACGAUCAGCCACACUGGGAUUGAGAACGGCCCAGACUCCUACGGGGGGCAGCAGUGAGGAUUUUCGUCAAUGGGGCAACCCUGAACGAGCAACGCCGCGUGCAGGAAGAAGGUUUUCGGAUCGUAAACUGCUUUUCGUCGGGAAGAGAACGGACGGUACCCGAGGAAUCAGCCCCGGCUAACUACGUAGCCAGCAGCCGC